CCUUCGCUGGCCGCGUGCCUAAUUCUUGCAAGUCGAGCCGGACAGAUGGGAGCUUGCUCCCUGAUGUUAGCGGCGGACGGGUGAGUAACACGUGGGUAACCUGCCUGUAAGACUGGGAUAACUCCGGGAAACCGGGGCUAAUACCGGAUGGUUGUUUGAACCGCAUGGUUCAGACAUAAAAGGUGGCUUCGGCUACCACUUACAGAUGGACCCGCGGCGCAUUAGCUAGUUGGUGAGGUAACGGCUCACCAAGGCGACGAUGCGUAGCCGACCUGAGAGGGUGAUCGGCCACACUGGGACUGAGACACGGCCCAGACUCCUACGGGAGGCAGCAGUAGGGAAUCUUCCGCAAUGGACGAAAGUCUGACGGAGCAACGCCGCGUGAGUGAUGAAGGUUUUCGGAUCGUAAAGCUCUGUUGUUAGGGAAAAACAAGUGCCGUUCAAAUAGGGCGGCACCUUGACGGUACCUAACCAGAAAGCCACGGCUAACUACGUGCCAGCAGCCGCGGUAAUACGUAGGUGGCAAGCGUUGUCCGGAAUUAUUGGGCGUAAAGGGCUCG
rnacentral:rRNA from 1 species